rnacentral:rRNA from 1 species
CCUACGGGUGGCAGCAGUGGGGAAUAUUGCACAAUGGGGGAAACCCUGAUGCAGCGACGCCGCGUGAGUGAAGAAGUACUUCUUUAUGUAAAGCUCUAUCAGCAGGGAAGAAAAUGACGGUACCUGAGUAAUACGCCCCGGCUAACUACGUGCCCGCCGCCGCGGGAAUACGUAGGGGGCAAGGGUUAUCCGGAUUUACUGGGUGUAAAGGGGGCGUAGACGGGAGUGCAAGUCUGGAGGGAAAGGCGGGGGCCCCACCCCCGGACGGCUCUGGAAACUGUACGGCUGGAGUGCAGGAGAGGUAAGUGGAAUUCCUAGUGUAGCGGUGAAAUGCGUAGAUAUUAGGAGGAACACCAGUUGCGAAGGCGGCUUACUGGACUGUAACUGACGUUGAGGCUCGAAAGCGUGGGGAGCAAACAGGAUUAGAUACCCUAGUAGUC